CAGAGCCAGCCGUACAUCCAGAGACGGAGACCUCCUUGUGGGGACGUGCCUUGAAGAGAUGGGGACACUCUGGCUGGGACUGCUGGUUCUCCUGGUGCCCAGCCAGCUCCACAGCCUUCCCCUGCUGACUGCAGAGCGGCCUGGCCCACCUGCCCCAUCGCAGGACGAGGUGAUGUUUGCAAAGAGAUACUUAGAGAAGUUCUAUGGCUACGGUCUGUCCCAGUCGGACCGGCAGAGGAGGGGGGCAGUCAGCCCCGCCACGGCUGAUGACUGGCUCUGCGCGGCGGUGAAGCAGUUGCAGCGGUACUUCGGCCGUCCCGACAACGGCCGGCUGACGCCCGACACGUUGGCGCUCAUGCGGAAGCCUCGGUGUGGCUUGUCCGACAUGGAGCCCUUCCACAACACGUGGCGCUGGAAGAGGAGUACGCUGAGCUACAGAAUCUCUAGCUACGGCCCGACUGCCAGCGGACGCCUGACAAGUGUGAUCCAAAUUUGUCGUUUGAUGCGGGGACAGAACUCCAGCAGGAGAUUGUGUUUUUCAAAACAGAUUCAUGUGGCGUUAGUAUCCGACAUCUGAUGAGAUCUGGAUCAGUCUGAUCCGUGGCUUGUGGCCCAAUGCUGUACCAAAUAACAUGGACGCCGCCUAUGAGAAUGUGGAGAUGAACCAACUCUUGUUUUUUAAAGGUAGUCAGUACUGGGCGAUCAGACAGUUAAAUCUGAUGGCAGGGUUCCCGAGCAACAUCUCAGACCUGGGCUUCCCUCCCAGAGUGCAGGCUGUAGACGCUGCCCUUCACUUCCGCUUCGCACACCUCACCGUCUUCUUCACUGGCACUGAGUGCUGGAGGUACGACGAGCAGUAGAAGACAAUGGAGGAGGGGUCCCCAGCGCCAAUAGACCAGCAAUGGCCGGGCGUUCCCUCUCACCUCGAUGCAGCUAUUUUUUAUAAGGGUACAUGUAAUGUUUUGAUUUAUCACAAUCAAACCCAACACUUUGUGUAGGAAUUAAUGUCUAUGUUGCAGCCUUGAUUUGUGCAUUUAUUAUGUAUCCACUCUAUGGUAGUGAGGUAUGGAUACCUUACCACCAGUCUGGAUGUUUACAAAGACAAUCACAUCCAAACCCUGCCUCUGAUUUUCCCUCCAUUUGAUCAUGUGGGUGUGAGAGUUAUACCAAGCACACCAACCAUAACUAAAUACUACUUUGCGUGAUGUGUACCCAUCAUCCCAGCCUGCUCAUUACACCUACCCAUUUUACAUUAUUCAUGCAUUAUUUUUUUAUUAUUCAAAUACAAGUGUUUACAAUUACUAUGAUUAUUAGUAUUGUAAUUAAUUACUGCAUAUUUUAUACAUUUUACUUGCAAAAUUAUGACACCAAACAAAGUAAGUCCACAUUCAUAUUCACAGUUCCAUAGUCCUCCGUG
ensembl:lncRNA